rnacentral:rRNA from 1 species
CAGUAGCCACGGGAAUACGUAGGUGGCAAGCGUUGUCCGGAAUUAUUGGGCGUAAAGGGCUCGCAGGCGGUUUCUUAAGUCUGAUGUGAAAGCCCCCGGCUCAACCGGGGAGGGUCAUUGGAAACUGGGAAACUUGAGUGCAGAAGAGGAGAGUGGAAUUCCACGUGUAGCGGUGAAAUGCGUAGAGAUGUGGAGGAACACCAGUGGCGAAGGCGACUCUCUGGUCUGUAACUGACGCUGGGGAGCGAAAGCGUGGGGAGCGAACAGGAUUAGAUACCCGCGUAGUCCCUGUCUCUUAUAC